rnacentral:rRNA from 1 species
GUCUCUUUGAGGAAUUAAUAAUAAAGAGUUUGGCCUGCUCAGUGAGAUUUUUAACAGCUGCGGUAUUAUAACUGUACUAAGGUAGCAUAAUAAUUUGCCUUAUAAAUUAGGGCUAGAAUGAAUGGUUUGACGAAAAUUAUACUGUCUCUAUUUUAAUUGAUAGAAAUUAAUUUUUAUAGUGAAAAAGCUUAAAUAGUUUAAAGGGACGAGAAGACCCUAUUGAGCUUUAUAUUAGUUAUAAUAAAUAUGAUUUAUUUGGUUAAAUUGAUAUUAUGUUUAUUGUGUUUAAUUUUGAUUGGGGUGAUCAAGGAAUAAGAUAAAUAUUAUUUAACUUCCUUAAAAUAAUUAAUUUUUUAGAAUAAUUAACCAAUGAUAUUGCUUAUAUGAUAAGUUACCAUAGGGAUAACAGCGUGAUUUUUUUGGAGAGUUCAUAUUAAAAAAAGAGAUUGCGACCUCGAUGUUGGAUUAAAAUAACCAUAUGGUGAAGAGGCUUUAUAUGGUGAAUCUGUUCGAUUUUUAAAAUUUU